GACGAAGGAUGCAAGCGUUAUCCGGAUUCAUUGGGUUUAAAGGGAGCGUAGGCGGCCUUAUAAGUCAGUGGUGAAAUCUCCUCGCUUAACGAGGAAAUUGCCAUUGAUACUGUAGGGCUUGAGUACAGUUGCCGUUGGCGGAAUAUGGCAUGUAGUGGUGAAAUACAUAGAGAUGUCAUAGAACACCGAUUGCGAAGGCAGCUAACGAAACUGUAACUGACGCUGAGGCUCGAAAGUGCGGGGAUCAAACAGG
rnacentral:rRNA from 1 species